GCAUCCAUGAAGUACUCACUAAGGCUAGGUAUGAUGGCUCAUUCCUGUAAUCUUAGCAGUCUGGAAGGCUGAGGCAGGAGGAUUGCCACAAGUUCAAGGCCAGCCUGAGCUACCCAAUGAGUUCAAGGCAACUUUAUGACUUAGGGAGACUAUGUCUCAAACAAAAAACAAAUUUUAAAAGGCUGGACAUAUGCUCAGUGCAAACGCCCUGGGUUCAAGCCCCAGUACUACAGAUGGAAAAAAAGUCCUUAAAUGGUUGGUCUUGACAUGGUGGUACACACGUAUAAUCUUGACUUCUCAAGAUGGCUGAGGUAGGAUUACUUGAACUGGUGAAUCCAAGACUGGCCUGGGUAACACAGCAAGACUCAUCUCAUUAGAAGAACAAAAGAUAAUUGAUCUGCCAAAGAGAUUUGAAGGGAAGCAGUAUACUGAAAAUAGAAGGCAAGAUUGGCAUGUCGUUCUUUUGGAAAUAGAGUUUCUACUUGCUAAAUGCAAACCUGACAGGAUAGAACCUCCACCACUACCACCCCCCAAAAAAAGCCUCUCUGUAAAACUGAUCUAAAAGACCAUUUGAAGUUUUUUAUCUCUUUGACCUGAACACUGUCAAACAGCUUGAAUCAUUCAAUCAAGCAAAGGAACUGACACAAAAACCAGUGUGCCUUGGGCUUUAUGCUGAGCUAUUUAUCCACAGUACAUUAAUGUCUUUUGCUCCCUGAACUACCAAUAAAGUGGAUG